UACAGAGGUCUCAAGCGUUGUUCGGAUUCAUUGGGCGUAAAGGGUGCGUAGGUGGCGGGGUAAGUCUGGUGUGAAAUCUCGGGGCUCAACCCCGAAACUGCACUGGAUACUGCCUUGCUAGAGUACUGGAGAGGAGAUUGGAAUUUACGGUGUAGCGGUGAAAUGCGUAGAUAUCUGGAGGAACACCGGUGGCGAAGGCGACAUCCUGGACCGGUAUUGACGCUGAGGCGCGAAAGCCAGGGGAGCAAACGGG
rnacentral:rRNA from 1 species